UACAGAGGGUGCAAGCGUUAAUCGGAAUUACUGGGCGUAAAGCGUGCGUAGACGGUUACAUAAGUCUGAUGUGAAAGCCCUGGGCUCAACCUGGGAAUUGCAUUGGAUACUGGCAGGCUAGAGUGCGGUAGAGGAUGGCGGAAUUCCCGGUGUAGCAGUGAAAUGCGUAGAGAUCGGGAGGAACAUCUGUGGCGAAGGCGGCCAUCUGGACCAGCACUGACACUGAGGCACGAAAGCGUGGGGAGCAAACAGG
rnacentral:rRNA from 1 species